rnacentral:rRNA from 1 species
UACGUAGGGCGCAAGCGUUGUCCGGAUUUAUUGGGCGUAAAGAGCUCGUAGGCGGCUUGUCGCGUCGACUGUGAAAAACCACGACUCAACCGUGGGACUGCAGUCGAUACGGGCAGGCUAGAGUUCGGUAGGGGAGACUGGAAUUCCUGGUGUAGCGGUGAAAUGCGCAGAUAUCAGGAGGAACACCGGUGGCGAAGGCGGGUCUCUGGGCCGAUACUGACGCUGAGGAGCGAAAGCGUGGGGAGCGAACAGG